CCUACGGGGGGCAGCAGUGGGGAAUAUUGCACAAUGGGGGAAACCCUGAUGCAGCAACGCCGCGUGAGUGAAGAAGUAUUUCGGUAUGUAAAGCUCUAUCAGCAGGGAAGAAGAUGACGGUACCUGACCAAGAAGCCCCGGCUAACUACGUGCCAGCAGCCGCGGUAAUACGUAGGGGGCAAGCGUUAUCCGGAUUUACUGGGUGUAAAGGGAGCGCAGACGGCAGUGCAAGUCUGGAGUGAAAGCCCGGGGCCCAACCCCGGAACUGCUCUGGAAACUGUGCGGCUAGAGUACUGGAGGGGCAGGCGGAAUUCCUAGUGUAGCGGUGAAAUGCGUAGAUAUUAGGAAGAACACCAGUGGCGAAGGCGGAUUACUGGACGACAACUGACGGUGAGGCGCGAAAGCGUGGGGAGCAAACAGGAUUAGAUACCCCAGUAGUC
rnacentral:rRNA from 1 species